GCCUCCAUAGAUCAGUGUUAGAUCACCUCCGCGGCGUCACUAAGUUCAGGAGACGUAGGUUCGAGUCCUACUGGAGGCG